rnacentral:rRNA from 1 species
UACGUAGGAUGCUAGCGUUGUCCGGAUUUACUGGGCGUAAAGCGCGCGCCGGCGGCACUGUAAGUAAGGUGUGAAAUAUCCCUGCUCAACGGGGAGGGUGCACUUUAGACUGCAGAGCUAGAGGACGGUAGAGGGGGGUGGAAUUGCUGGUGUAGCGGUGAAAUGCGUAGAGAUCAGCAGGAACACCCGUGGCGAAGGCGGCCCCCUGGGCCGAACCUGACGCUGAGGCGCGAAGGCUAGGGGAGCGAACGGG